rnacentral:tRNA from 1 species
GUCCCCCUUCGUCUAGAGGGCUUCCGUGACACCGCCCUUUCACGGCGGCAACAGGGGUCUGAAUCCCCUAGGGGACGCCA